UCCGUAGGUGAUCCUGCGGAAAGGAUCAUUACCGAGUGUAGGGUUCCUAGCGGGCCCAACCUCCCACCCGUGUUUACUGUACCUUAGUUGCUUCGGCGGGCCCGCCAUUCAUGGCCGCCGGGGGCUCUCAGCCCCGGGCCCGCGCCCGCCGGAGACACCACGAACUCUGUCUGAUCUAGUGAAGUCUGAGUUGAUUGUAUCGCAAUCAGUUAAAACUUUCAACAAUGGAUCUCUUGGUUCCGGCAUCGAUGAAGAACGCAGCGAAAUGCGAUAACUAGUGUGAAUUGCAGAAUUCCGUGAAUCAUCGAGUCUUUGAACGCACAUUGCGCCCCCUGGUAUUCCGGGGGGCAUGCCUGUCCGAGCGUCAUUGCUGCCCAUCAAGCACGGCUUGUGUGUUGGGUCGUCGUCCCCUCUCCGGGGGGGACGGGCCCCAAAGGCAGCGGCGGCACCGCGUCCGAUCCUCGAGCGUAUGGGGCUUUGUCACCCGCUCUGUAGGCCCGGCCGGCGCUUGCCGAACGCAAAUCAAUCUUUUUCCAGGUUGACCUCGGAUCAGGUAGGGAUACCCGCUGAACUUAAGCAUAUCAAUAAGCGGAGGC
rnacentral:rRNA from 1 species